AAAGUGCUGGGAUUACAGGCAUGAGCCACCGCGCCCAGCCAUAACAGCACCGGCCAUUAACAUGCUUUUUCUAAGGGAAUCUUCACAGCAACCUUCUGAGGUAGGUUCUGUUAUUGUCCCUGUUUUACAGAUUGGAAACUAAAACGCAGUGGCAUGAUCUCUGCUCACUGCAACCUCUGCCUCCCGGGUUCAAGUGAUUCUCCUGCCUCAGGCUCCCAAGUAGCUGGGACUACAGGUGCGUGCNNNNNNNNNNUUCAAGUGAUUCUCCUGCCUCAGGCUCCCAAGUAGC
rnacentral:lncRNA from 1 species